CUCAACAACUCUUACGCAAUUCCUGUCCCAAUUUGACCGAGGCAUUAGAGUUGAGACGGUCUGUGGUUCAGAAAGGAUGUAUCGCGGUUCGGCACUUGACUAGUAAAUGAGUCGUGGAGUGGGGAGGGGGGCUGAGUCGCAGUUUGCAGUCUUAUGUCGGUCCAAUUCGGAUUUCAAUCUGGAAUCUGAUCCAUAGCGGAU